GUCUAUGGCUGUGCUACCCUGAACAAGUCUAAUCAUGUCUGAUCACAGAAGUUAAGCAGGGUCGAGGCUGGUUAGUACUUGGAUGGGAGACCAUCUAGGAAGACCAGGUGCUGUAGGCU
ensembl:rRNA 5S_rRNA 5S ribosomal RNA